ensembl:lncRNA
UCCGCGGCCCUAGGGCUAUGGUUCGGGGAGCGGCGCUGUUUGGCGUCGGUCCUCUUUUCCGAUUGUAGCUUGCAGAUAGUUUUCUUCUGGACACCUGUCCUCUUUUCGCCCAUUUCAAGUAUCUGUAGUCCAACUUAACAUCAUUGAUCGGAGCGAGUGCCAGCUUGUUUGGAAAACGCCCCCCAAGCCCCGCUCUUUGUGAUUUUUGAAGAAUGAUCAAGAAUUCUUGCAAGACACUUAAGACUGUUUUACAGAGGAGUAUUGUAACCGAGAAUUUAUAAUAACAGCAUCUCAGACAUGUUGAAAAAGAUGUUUUGAUCCCUAAAAUUAUGAGAGAAAAGGCCCGAGAGAGGUGCUCUGAACAAGUUCAAGGUAAGAUUCAGAUAUUCAUGUAAAGAUAAAAUACUUUUUUUAAUAAUAUAAUUUGAAUUUAAUCCUUAGCCUCAGAGUCAAGAAGUCAGUGAAUUAAUAUGUAUGAAUUUCUUCUCACUCUUUCAGUAAGACACCAGUUAUUUCAACUUUCAGAGCUUCCCAGUGGUGUUCAAUUCAUUUACAAUUUAAAAAUAUUCUCCCAAAUUCCUAGCAAAAAACAUUUUUUUCUGGAUGUAUGGUUGCAUAUGGAAAAAAUUUGUAUUCGUAUUUUGGGGAAACAUGUUAUUCUGGUGAUUUUGAUAGGGAAAGAAGAAACAUCAAAUGUAAUGUGUGCCGAUUUUUCCUGUGUCAGCAUGCAUGUAGAUACAUAUUCUGAGAUGAUUUUCUUUGUUGUCGUUGACUGUUACUGAAUUGUUAAUGGAAUCUCAGUAGUACUUGCAAUGAGUCUUUUUCAAAACUUUUUUUUCUACAGUUUAUAUUUCUGAGUGGAAGAUAUUUAUGACAUGCGUGCACUAAGCACCCACAUGUGUGUGUUUUUCAUUGGGAAAUGUUUUUGUAACAUGAAAUACUCCUGUAGUCUAUGAAUCUAGAGAUGUGUUGUUGGUUAAUAUGUCAUAUUACAAUGAAGAAUAUAAACAAAACAGUAGAAGGUGAAAGAUGAGGCCCUAAAUGAUGGGUAAUUAGUAAAGCAGAUGGCAGUAGUAGUGUAGAAAUAUCUUUUCAUAAAAAUCUACCUCUUGGAAUGGCCAUCUCAAAUAAGUAGUGGUAAAAUUUUGCCGACCUAGAAUAUCAUCCUGCAUCCCUUUUCCCUUUCUCUUGUAGUCAUGUUGAAGGACCACUGAAGUUCUUAGUGGGACUGAAGGGCUGCACUUCCCCUGCAAAUGUCUCCACAGGGAAGCCAGGCUGGGUCAACUGAACUUUUGGAGCUCUGUCAGUAUCCCUUGGAUGCUAGAAAUAUUUUGGUCCCUUAGAUGCUACCUCCUUAGAGAAUGACCUCUGGGAUUGAUGGAUAGAGGCAAUAAAAGAGUAGGUCCUCAGGAGUGACACUGCAUUAUGGUCAUUUUUUUUUUUUUUUCUUAGAAGAAGUCCAAUUCACUAUCCAUUGCACAGUGGAGCCACCUUGUUUCUUUUUCUUAAAUAAUUUAUUAUGAGCUAUUCCAUGUUUUAAAUCCAUCUGUAAAUUGUUUGAAUGAACUCUACUAUAGAUGAAUUUAUUAACAAAUUAUCAGUAAUUUAUUAUUAUCAUUCUGUGGUCCUGCUUUCAUUCUGAAUUGGUUGUCUAAUCAGAGCACCUUCCUUCAGGGAAGUUAUUCCACUGGCACCUGCAGGUUAGGUUCAGUGCAUACCUAGCAUUGGCAGAUGUCAUGCUGAUGGUCUCGGGAGAUGAUCCUCUGCUUACCUCAUAGGACUUUUAGAAGGAUGUAGCCUGAAUCAAGUGAGGGCAGAUGAAACUUAAAAAUGGAUAAUAAGGGAGUUGCCAUUGUGGUGCAGCGGAAACGAAUCCAUCUAGGAACCAUGGGGUUGCGGGUUUUGAUCCCUGGACUCGCUCAGUGAGUUAAGGAUCCAGCAUUGCCAUGAGCUGUUGGUGUAGGUCGAAGGCGUGUCUUGGAUCCUGCUUUGCUGUGGCUGUGGCAUAGGCCAGCAGCUAUAGCUCUGAUUCAACCCCUAGCCUGGGAACCUCCAUAUGCUGCGGGUGUGGCCCUAAAAAAAAGAACAAAAAUAAAUAAAUAAAUAAAGGGAUAAGAAAAUGAUGGGGUUAACUAUUCACUAUCAGGAAAAUUAUUUACUUGUUACUGACAUAUUGGUCCAAAAUUACAAAUGUGGAGUUCCUGCUGUGGCGCAGUGGGUUAAGAAUCUGACUGAAGUGGCUUGGGUCACUGUGGAGGUGCAGGUUCUGUCCCCUGCUCAGUGCAGUGAGUUAAAGGAUCUGGCAUUGCUGCAGCUGUGGCAUUGGUUGCAGCAGCGUCUCAGAUUCAGUCCCUGGCCUGGGAACUCCAUAUGCUGUGCAUGUGGCUACAAAAAAAAAAAAAAA